rnacentral:lncRNA from 1 species
ACACACGAGUAUCGUUUCCGCCAGAGUGUAGUGACCUCGUUGUUUGGGAGGCAUAGAUGCUAUCUCCUCCACCUCGGGGUCGGCCGCCGCCGCAAAUCGGGCAUUCAAAUUGAUUCCUUCAAUGCCUUGCGUUUGAAAGACAUUUGAUUCUUGAGUUAAUGGCGAGAAUUCUUGGGCAAAUGCAUUUGAUUCGCCGGGAGAUGAAUUUUGGGGGUGUUGGGUCCAAUAUUUUCUCCAAUCUUGAUCUCCUUCCAUGGUUAUGUGAGAAAAUUGAGAGAAGAAUAUGAAGAAAAGUAGGAGUAGAAG